rnacentral:rRNA from 1 species
UUGACCUCWAAUCAGGUAGGACUACCCGCUGAACUUAAGCAUAUCAAUAAGCGGAGGAAAAGMAWCUANCAAGGAUUCCCCUAGUAWCUGCGAGUGAAGAGGGAAAAGCUCAAAUUUAAAAUCUGGCAGCUUCGCUGUCCGAGUUGUAAUUUAGAGAAGUGUUACCCGCGUUGGACCGUGUACAAGUCUCCUGGAACGGAGCGUCAUAGAGGGUGAGAAUCCCGUCUUUGNCACGGACUCCCAAGGCUUUGUGGUACGCUCUNGAAGAGUYSAGUUGUUUGGGAA